rnacentral:misc_RNA from 1 species
CACGAUCCAAGUCAAAGGCAGGUGAUGUUGAUCACAGUCAACUUGCCCUUUCAGAAUCAGAUUUAUGCACUAUUGAUCAGCUGAAGCAAGAGAACCAAAAGCUGAAGGAAAGAUUAGAGAAAAGGGAAGCAGAGUUUCGAGGUGAAUUGAGGCAUGGUUUGCAGUGUGAUAAGUGUAAAUCGCUCGAGAUGCAGGUUUGUUUAUCAUCUUAUAUUAAUUAUUGUGCUGGAGAUCUGGGGAAAACAGGAACCCAAGUGACCAAUGCAUGUGCUUUUGCAUGUGUUAUUUGUGCUAUUUGUAAUGGACUCCUUCAUUCAACAGCAACCAUUUUAUUUUACUGUAC